UACGAAGGGGGCUAGCGUUGCUCGGAAUCACUGGGCGUAAAGGGUGCGUAGGCGGGUCUUUUAAGUCAGGGGUGAAAUCCUGGAGCUCAAAUCCAGAACUGCCUUUGAUACUGAGGAUCUUGAGUUCGGGAGAGGUGAGUGGAACUGCGAGUGUAGAGGUGAAAUUCGUAGAUAUUCGCAAGAACACCAGUGGCGAAGGCGGCUCACUGGCCCGAUACUGACGCUGAGGCACGAAAGCGUGGGGAGCAAACAGG
rnacentral:rRNA from 1 species